CUCACAGCCUGUGAGGCCCUGAUGGUAGAUAGUCCCUGGCAUGUACUCUCCCGGGCUUUUCAUUGAAGCUCAGCCUACGGGUUUCAUUUUCUACACAGGAUGAUCUGUGUCAAGUUUUCUGCUACUUAAUGGUUUGAGAUGAAUGGGGUUCUAUUGUGUCUGUAUUGUAUCUUGAUUUUUUUUUGGCAACAAAAUAGGGGGCAGUAUUUCAUAACAAUCAAGGUGGCUUGAAAUGAGAUAUUGUGAAAAGGUUCUUUUUACUUCCUGGCAUGAAAAAGACUUGAGUCGAAGCACUAAACUGGUUUCUUUUGUCCCCAGUUAUGUGUAAACAGACUGCUCCAACUCUGUCUCUAACCCUACUUUCCACUCACUACCGGGAUUUUUACUUUUCACAAGUAAAGCACAAAGGUAGUUUGAAAAAUAUCUUAGAACUGCAUAAGCUUUUAAGGAUGAGAGGUCACACAGUGGAGUGAUUGAGAAACCCAGGGUCUCUAAUCAGGCAAUAUAUUCAGAGAGGAUCCCCACAUGCUACGCCCUGUGCUGGGUGUGUAGGGGCUGGACAGGGACUGCUGUUAGGGUCCUGCCCCAUAAGAUUUUUCCUUCUGAUGACAGAGAUGGUCUUGGCAUAAAUCACAACACUGUCAGGCAGAGUGCUAAAAGUGAACCCACAAAAUGCUGUGGAGGGACCAGGGUCCACCCACCGAGCCCAUUACCAAAGUCUUCAUGGGGGAAGUGGCUUUGCUCUACCUGGAAAUCUGUAUGCUGGCAAAAUUCCCAUCCCCAUUGCCCACAGCUACUAUUCCGACUUGGCUCCGCUUCCCUGAGCUCAUCCUCCACCUUCUCGGGGGACAGCCUCAUUUUCUGCUUCAUUGAGAAAACAGAGAUCAUCAGAUGCCUCUGCUCUGCACCACGAGGACGCUGACCCUUCGGCCUCUAAGCUUGUCCAGUUCCACUUGAUGCUGUGACAUUGUGGCUCCAACCUGAGCAGUGGCAGGACCUUGGGCCAGUCCUCAUUCCUAUGAGAGGAACAGGAGUUCUCAUUCACAUUUCUUAUCUGGGAACUACGGAUAACGCCUGACUUACACAUUGUUUUAUUGGUUAAAUGACAUGACACAUGCAAAAAAGUAUUUGGCACAGUCCUGAACACUAAAGGACACCCUCUAAGGUGGCUGUUCUAUGAUCCGUUCCUUCUGGUAUAAACACCCUGGUAUAAUGCCCUCUCGCUAGCUGUGGACAGGACCUAUAACAUCCUUCCCAUCAAGAGAGUAUGGCAAAGGAGAUGGACUGUCAUUUUCAUUAUUAGGCAAUGAUAUGUAAUACUCCAUCAUCUUGCUAGCCAAUCUGCCCUGGAGACUUCCCCCUGCUGUUCAUUUAAGCAAGCAGCCAACUUCAGAAAGUCCGUGUGGCAAGGAACCUUGAUGACUCCUCAGCAGCUCAGGGCAGGCUCAGACCAACAGCCAGCAGAAAAUGAAAUCUCUCAGUCCUGUUACCACAAGGUACUGCAGGCUACAGCAACCACACAAGUAGGGUGGUGGAUCUUCCUCUGGUCAAGCCACCGAAUGAGAACCCAGCCCUGGCUGAUGACCUUGACUGUAGUCUUGUGAGACCUUAAGACAUGGAGCCAGCUAAACUGUUCCUGACCCCCAGAAGCUCUACAAACAUAGGCGUAGAUUCAGAAAUGUUUUAACUGUGUAAAAGCACAUUGUUUCAAGCCACUAAGCUUCUAAUUUGUUACACAGCAAUAGAUAACUAAUACACUGCGUGAUGAAUGCUAACUUUGUCAUAAUUCUAAGAAAGACCGUCUUUAGCAUUGUUCCUCCCUCCAGUCUCUGUCCUACCCUUAUAGCUUCCUGUCCGUGGUUACCAACCCUUGAAGGUAACCACUCUACAACAGUUCCCACGGAGCUAUUGUUCUCAGCCCAAACUAUGGGCACCUGGAGGGCAGCAGCUGUGUGAGGUCCACAAUCCUUGCUGAGAAGAGGUGCUCACAGCCGGGCCCCAGCCAAGGGACACCGCUUUCUAGUUUCCUCUGUGAUUAAUGAUGUGCAAACUGACAGGUUGAAAGUGGCCCCACAAGAGGCUCAUGUGGCAGGGACAGAGGGUGGCUGCUGGCCAACAGCCUGCAAGGAGCCCGAGCCUGCUAAUGACUGCAAGGAAGCCUGGAAGAGGGCUGAUCAUUCUCUCACCGAGCUCGAGGUUCCUCAGCCCCAGGGGAACACCUGCACCACCGCCUCGUGACAGACCAGCUAGGAUGCACCUGACUCCUGACACACAGUUUCACACAUUGAUGCAUCCAGACUAAGCAACUUCUGGAGUCUCUAUUUAAGGAGCUACAGGCAAGAGCCGCAUCCACACCUGGACCUGAUCUGGACGAUGAGUCUGAACUUUGAUGCUGUCAUGGAAGGGGAUGUUUGCAGAGCUGGGGAAGGAGCUGUCAUAUUCUAGGCUGCUCAGGUGACCUGGAAGCAUAAAGUGGGAGUUUGGCAUCCCUGGGCCCUAAGUACUGACUUGAGCGCAUUUGUAGGAGGCGCAGUGCAGAUGAGAGCAAGAGCAAAUGGGUCUGAUGGAAGGGUCCACGUUAUCCCAUUAAAAAUGAUUAAUGGGAUGUUCUUAGCAUCAUAAUGUGUGCAAUAAAU